rnacentral:rRNA from 1 species
AGUGAACGCUGGCGGUAGGCCAAACACAUGCAAGUCGAACGGCAGCACAGGAGAGCUUGCUCUCUGGGUGGCGAGUGGCGGACGGGUGAGGAAUACAUCGGAAUCUACUUUUUCGUGGGGGAUAACGUAGGGAAACUUACGCUAAUACCGCAUACGACCUACGGGUGAAAGCAGGGGAUCUUCGGACCUUGCGCGAUUGAAUGAGCCGAUGUCGGAUUAGCUAGUUGGCGGGGUAAAGGCCCACCAAGGCGACGAUCCGUAGCUGGUCUGAGAGGAUGAUCAGCCACACUGGAACUGAGACACGGUCCAGACUCCUACGGGAGGCAGCAGUGGGGAAUAUUGGACAAUGGGCGCAAGCCUGAUCCAGCCAUACCGCGUGGGUGAAGAAGGCCUUCGGGUUGUAAAGCCCUUUUGUUGGGGAAGGAAUCCAGCUGGUUAAUACCCGGUUGGGAUGACGGUGCCCAAAGAAUAAGCACCGGCUAACUUCGUGCCAGCCGCCGCCGUAA